rnacentral:rRNA from 1 species
UACGAGUGCCUCAAGCGUUAUCCGGAAUUAUUGGGCGUAAAGGGUGCGUAGGCGGUGCGGUAAGUCUGUAGUGAAAUCUCUGGGCUCAACUCAGAGUCUGCUAUAGAAACUGCCGUGCUUGAGUGUGGGAGAGGUGAGUGGAGUUCCCGGUGUAGCGGUGAAAUGCGUAGAUAUCGGGAGGAACACCUGUGGCGAAAGCGGCUCACUGGACCACAACUGACGCUGAUGCACGAAAGCUAGGGGAGCAAACAGG